rnacentral:rRNA from 1 species
UUCCGGUUGAUCCUGCCGGACCCGACUGCUAUCAGAGUGAGAUUAAGCCAUGCGAGUCAACGUAGCAAUACGUGGCACACGGCUCAGUAACACGUAGUCAACAUAACCAAAGGACGUGGAUAAACUCGGGAAACUGAGGCUAAACCGCGAUAGACCAAGAUACCUGGAAUGGUUUUUGAUUGAAAUCUAUAUGGCCUUUGGAUUGGACUGCGUCCGAUCAGGCUGUUGGUGAGGUAAUGGCCCACCAAACCUAUAACCGGUACGGGCUCUGAGAGGAGGAGCCCGGAGAUGGGUACUGAGACAAGGACCCAGGCCCUAUGGGGCGCAGCAGGCGCGAAACCUCUGCAAUAGGCGAAAGCCUGACAGGGUUACUCUGAGUGACUUUCGCUAAGAAAGUCUUUUGACACCUCUAAAAAUGGUGUAGAAUAAGGGGUGGGCAAGUCUGGUGUCAGCCGCCGCGGUAAUACCAGCACCCCGAGUGGUCGGGACGAUUAUUGGGCCUAAAGCAUCCGUAGCCGGCUUUACAAGUCCCCCGUUAAAUCCAACUGCUUAACAGAUGGGCUGCGGAGGAUACUAUAAGGCUAGGAGGCAGGAGAGGCAAGCGGUACUCAGUGGGUAGGGGUAAAAUCCGUUGAUCCAUUGAAGACCACCAGUGGCGAAGGCGGCUUGCCAGAAUGCGCUCGACGGUGA